UCCUUUUUUUCCCCUCGUUCCCAAGUCACAUCCGGGUUUUGUUUGUGAAGCAAGAAAAGGAGGACACUACCCCGCAGGAAAUAACGGCCCUUCACCUCUCCAAGCGUUUUAAAAAUAUACAGCUUGUUCUUCCCCCCAGUUCAUACACAUGUGUAUUGUAGGAAAUGUGAACGCUGAGGAAAAGGCCCAAGAGGAAAGUGAAACUGGCCUGUGAUCUCAGAAACACCCACCACGUCUGUUCAUGGACGUCCACCCAGUCGGUUACAUGCCUGAUACCUAUUCACACAUUCGGGGAUCAGAGGGGCGUCGGGAUGUGAAUAUUGUUUACAACUUUCAGGGCCAUUUUCUGACAGUCAGUCGUCUGCAUCCGCCACAGCAGAGCUUUUAUUCCUUCUUCAGCGGAACGUUUUGUAAGGAUUUGGAGGACACAAGGAUGAUACUAGAGAAGACAGAAGCAGCCGUCUUAAAUGUUCUUACCAGAAAGUGUUUCUCCACUCCCUGUCAACCAAGGUUUGGGUGACUGUUGAUACCAAGGGUCUUGAAUUUCUGGCUUCAGCACCUUUCUGGACACAGGCAGUGGAUUCACUGAGUAUUGGUCUCUCCGCCCUCUGGAAAGCAGUAUUCAUCUUGCUGCCAGAAGUGUCUGCUAUGACAAACGCUUACCUGCAAUAUAAGAUUUCCCUCUGAUUAUAAACUAAAGCCUUCUUAAUGAUGCUCAAUAGACUAGAAGAAAAAUAAAGCAUUAAGGUAGGACACUUUCUCUAGCAGGCAGAUAUUUCUCUUUUUGGAGAUACUACCUCCUGCCUACAGAGUCAGACUCAAGAGUGGUGGCAUGAACUGAGUUAUUCAGGGCACUUGACCUGAGACACCCAUAACCACCCCUAUCUUAUGAGGGAACACUUUCUGGAAGCGCAUGCAGCCUCCGUCCCUCAGCAUGGCAUUUACCUCCCAAGAGCAGCGCGGAAAAAGGACUAUACUGGUGAGAGUCUUCUGAGAGAUGGGAUGAAAUAGCAUGUAUCUUAAAGGAUUCUAGGAAAUCACACAGCCUCCUUUGAGCUCCUUGAAGGGAUUUUUGUCCUCUGGGAUACCCUUUACUAGUGGAUCUUCACCAGAUCUUUCUUCAACAUAAUCCCUUACUUCUUCACAACAUUUGGAGACCUUAAAGGAAAGGAGAAAGAAACGACACAUUUGAUUCAAUACAGAAUGCUUCAGAAUCCAAGAAUGAUGAUAACUUUUGUGUUCUUUUAAAUGUGGUUCUGCUUUCUGCCAAUGCAUAUGUACUUUCUAGGAGAAAAGGAAGAGUAGCCGCUUCCUUCCUGACCUCCUGGAGAUCCUCAAGCCAAGGCUGCCCAUGUGAUCCCACCCCAGCUGAGGGCUCUCAGUAGAUGCUGCCUCCAACUUCUUUAAAGGAGACAGGAUCCAGGGAUCAGAACACAGAUGGCAACGAAAGCCAGCAGUGUCACCAGAGUGAACACUGAUUACAAUUUUUUCCUCGUUCUAAAAAUGUGUCCUUUCCAGGCAGAAGGGAAUAAAUGAUUGUUCAAUUCCAGGCUUACCAAUACUCCUGGAGUUGCAGAAGUA